AUGAACGCUGGCGGCGUGCCUAAUACAUGCAAGUCGAGCGAACAGACGAGGAGCUUGCUCCUCUGACGUUAGCGGCGGACGGGUGAGUAACACGUGGAUAACCUACCUAUAAGACUGGGAUAACUUCGGGAAACCGGAGCUAAUACCGGAUAAUAUAUUGAACCGCAUGGUUCAAUAGUGAAAGACGGUUUUGCUGUCACUUAUAGGUGGAUCCGCGCCGCAUUAGCUAGUUGGUAAGGUAACGGCUUACCAAGGCAACGAUGCGUAGCCGACCUGAGAGGGUGAUCGGCCACACUGGAACUGAGACACGGUCCAGACUCCUACGGGAGGCGGCAGUAGGGAAUCUUCCGCAAUGGGCGAAAGCCUGACGGAGCAACGCCGCGUGAGUGAUGAAGGUCUUCGGAUCGUAAAACUCUGUUAUUAGGGAAGAACAAAUGUGUAAGUAACUAUGCACGUCUUGACGGUACCUAAUCAGAAAGCCACGGCUAACUACGUG
rnacentral:rRNA from 1 species